rnacentral:rRNA from 1 species
UACGGAAGGCAGCAGUGGGGAAUAUUGGACAAUGGGCGAAAGCCUGAUCCAGCCAUGCCGCAUGAGUGAAGAAGGCCUUCGGGUUGUAAAGCUCUUUUAGUGAGAAAGAUAAAUGACGGUACUCACAGAAGAAGUCCUGGCUAACUCCGUGCCAGCAGCCGCGGUAAUACGGAGAGGGCUAGCGUUAUUCGGAAUUAUUGGGCGUAAAGAGCGCGUAGGCUGAUUAGUAAGUUAAAAGUGAAAUCCCAAAGCUUAACUUUGGAAUUGCUUUUUAAAACUGCUAGUCUAGAGAUUGAAAGAGGAUAGAGGAAUUCCUAGUGUAGAGGUGAAAUUCGUAAAUAUUAGGAGGAACACCAGUGGCGAAGGCGUCUAUCUGGUUCAAAUCUGACGCUGAGGCGCGAAGGCGUGGGGAGCGAAACAGGGAUUAGAUACCC